rnacentral:rRNA from 1 species
AACGAACGCUGGCGGCAGGCCUAACACAUGCAAGUCGAACGCCCCGCAAGGGGAGUGGCAGACGGGUGAGUAACACGUGGGAACCUUCCCUAUACUACGGAAUAGCCCAGGGAAACUUGGAGUAAUACCGUAUACGCCCGAGAGGGGAAAGAUUUAUCGGUAUAGGAUGGGCCCGCGUAGGAUUAGCUAGUUGGUGAGGUAAUGGCUCACCAAGGCGACGAUCCUUAGCUGGUCUGAGAGGACGACCAGCCACACUGGGACUGAGACACGGCCCAGACUCCUACGGGAGGCAGCAGUGGGGAAGAUUGGACAAUGGGCGCAAGCCUGACCCAGCCAUGCCGCGUGAGUGAUGAAGGCCUUAGGGUUGUAAAGCUCUUUUGCCGGGGACGAUAAUGACGGUACCCGGAGAAUAAGUCCCGGCUAACUUCGUGCCAGCCGCCGCGGUAA